GGUGAUGAGAAAAAAAAAAAAGUUGUCUCAUCCAUGUUCUUUCCCCCCCCCUUUAGCCGUGACUUGAGAAAGAAAGAAAAGAAGAAGUUGGUUCUUCUUGGCCGUGAAUUGAAGGAGGAAGAAGAGGGGAAGUUCGGCCAAGGUGAUUCUUGGGAUUAAGAUCUCAUUUGGAAGCUACAGGCUCGGGGAUCGUCAGCAACUAGUCACACUAUCACUAUCCACUGUUUGGUACUGCUAUGUUUUGGAAUAUCUUAUGGCAUGUAUAGAAUAGACUAGUAGUGAGAGGAUAUUUGGUCAUGUACCCAUGGAUUUUGUGUAAAUUUGGAUAGCCAUGCGAAAAUGGCUUAUAUACGUUUUUAGCAUAGUACUAUAAUCGUGUUGUAUGUUGAUCAUUAAGAAGUAUGGAAGUGUUUGGAAA